rnacentral:rRNA from 1 species
UACGUAGGGGGCAAGCGUUAUCCAGAUUUACUGGGCGUAAAGCGCGUGUAGGCGGCUGGUUAGGUGUGAUGUGAAAUCUUCCGGCUCAACCGGAAAACUGCAUUGCAAACCGGCCUGGCUAGAGUGCAGGAGAGGGAAGCGGAAUUCCAGGUGUAGCGGUGAAAUGCGUAGAUAUCGGGAAGAACACCCGUGGCGAAGGCGGCUCUCUGGGACGGUACUGACGCUGGGACGCGAAAGCGUGGGGAGCGAACAGG